AUUGAACGCUGGCGGCAUGCCUUACACAUGCAAGUCGAACGGCAGCACGGGUGCUUGCACCUGGUGGCGAGUGGCGAACGGGUGAGUAAUACAUCGGAACAUGUCCUGUAGUGGGGGAUAGCCCGGCGAAAGCCGGAUUAAUACCGCAUACGAUCUACGGAUGAAAGCGGGGGACCUUCGGGCCUCGCGCUAUAGGGUUGGCCGAUGGCUGAUUAGCUAGUUGGUGGGGUAAAGGCCUACCAAGGCGACGAUCAGUAGCUGGUCUGAGAGGACGACCAGCCACACUGGGACUGAGACACGGCCCAGACUCCUACGGGAGGCAGCAGUGGGGAAUUUUGGACAAUGGGCGAAAGCCUCAUCCAGCAAUGCCGCGUGUGUGAAGAAGGCCUUCGGGUUGUAAAGCACUUUUGUCCGGAAAGAAAUCCUUGGCCCUAAUACGGUCGGAGGAUGACGGUACCGGAAGAAUAAGCACCGGCUAACUACGUG
rnacentral:rRNA from 1 species